AACACGUGGAUAACCUACCUAUAAGACUGGGAUAACUUCGGGAAACCGGAGCUAAUACCGGAUAAUAUUUUGAACCGCAUGGUUCAAAAGUGAAAGACGGUCUUGCUGUCACUUAUAGAUGGAUCCGCGCUGCAUUAGCUAGUUGGUAAGGUAACGGCUUACCAAGGCAACGAUGCAUAGCCGACCUGAGAGGGUGAUCGGCCACACUGGAACUGAGACACGGUCCAG
rnacentral:rRNA from 1 species